rnacentral:tRNA from 1 species
GGUUCCAUAGUGUCGUGGUUAUCACGUCUGCUUUACGCGCAGAAGGUCCUGGGUUCAAGCCCCAGUGGAACCA